UGGGAUAACUCUUCGAAAGGAGGGCUAAUACCAAAUGUUUUAUGAUCUUCCAUGAAGAUUAUAACAAAGGUAGCCGCAAGGCUUCCGCUUUAAGAUGAGUCCGCGUCCUAUUAGCUUGUUGGUGGGGUAACAGCCUACCAAGGCUAUGAUGGGUAGCCGGUCUGAGAGGACGGACGGCCACACUGGGACUAAGAUACGGCCCAGACUCCUACGGGAGGCAGCAGUAGGGAAUAUUGCGCAAUGGGCGAACGCCUGACGCAGCGACACCGUGUGUAGGAUGAAAAUCUUCGGAUUGUAAACUACUGUCAGUUGAAGACGAAGGCAGUAGAGUUAAGAGCUCGAAUGUUGACGGUAUUCAAUUAGGAAGUCUCGGCUAACUCCGUGCCAGCAGCCGCGGUAAGACGGAGGAGGCUAGCAUUGUCCGGAAUUAUUGGGCGUAAAGAACACGUAGGCGGUUUGUCAAGUCAUGUGUGAAAACCUUAGGCUUAACUUAAGGAUUGCA
rnacentral:rRNA from 1 species